UAAGUACUCCCUCUCCGGCUAGCGGGAAAUAUUUGUUCUAAUAAUGGAUAAAUUGGAUGUAUCUAUAACUAAAAUAAGUCUAGAUACAUCCAUUUCUAGGACAAGUAUUUCCGGACGGAGGGAGUAUUAA
rfam:Triticum aestivum genome assembly, contig: Triticum_aestivum_CS42_TGACv1_scaffold_394602_5AS